rnacentral:misc_RNA from 1 species
AACCAUAGAAACCUGCGGAGUACCUGCGGAGGGAUCGUUACAGAGUUGCAAAACUCCCACAAACCAUCGCGAAUCUUACCCGUACGGUUGCCUCGGCGCUGGCGGUCCGGAAGGCCCUCGGGCCCCCGGACCCUCGGGUCCCCCGCUCGCGGGGGGCUGCCCGCCGGAGUGCCGAAACCAAACUCUUGAUAUUUUAUGUCUCUCUGAGUAAACUUUUAAAUAAGUCAAAACUUUCAACAA